rnacentral:rRNA from 1 species
UUGCAGAAAGAACCAACCGGGAUUGCCUCAGUAACGGCGAGUGAAGCGGCAAGAGCUCAAAUUUGAAAUCUGGCCCCUUUGGGGUCCGAGUUGUAAUUUGCAGAGGAUGCUUCGGGUGCGGUCCCCGUCUAAGUGCCCUGGAACGGGCCGUCAUAGAGGGUGAGAAUCCCGUCUGGGAUGGGCGGCCGCGCCCGUGUGAAGCUCCUUCGACGAGUCGAGUUGUUUGGGAAUGCAGCUCUAAGCGGGUGGUAAAUUUCAUCUAAAGCUAAAUACUGGCCGGAGACCGAUAGCGCACAAGUAGAGUGAUCGAAAGAUGAAAAGCACUUUGAAAAGAGAGUUAAACAGCACGUGAAAUUGUUGAAAGGGAAGCGUUGUCCACCAGACUCGCCCGGGGGGGUUCAGCCGGCACGUGUGCCGGUGUACUCCUCUCCGGGCGGGCCAGCAUCGGUUUGGGCGGCUGGUGAAAGGCCCCGGGAAUGUGCCACCCUUCGGGGUGCCUUAUAGCCCGGGGUGCCAUACAGCCAGCCUGGACCGAGGCCCGCGCUUCGGCGAGGAUGCUGGCGUAAUGGUGGUCAACGGCCCGUCUUGAAACACGGACCAAGGAGUCUAACAUCUAUGCGAGUGUUCGGGUGUCAAACCCGUCCGCGCAGUGAAAGCGAACGGAGGUGGGAGCCCCUCGGGGCGCACCAUCGACCGAUCCUGAUGUCUUCGGAUGGAUUUGAGUAAGAGCAUAGCUGUUGGGACCCGAAAGAUGGUGAACUAUGCCUGAAUAGGGCGAAGCCAGAGGAAACUCUGGUGGAGGCUCGCAGCGGUUCUGACGUGCAAAUCGAUCGUCAAAUUUGGGUAUAGGGGCGAAAGACUAAUCGAACCAUCUGGUAGCUGGUUCCUGCCGAAGUUUCCGUGGGAGGAAACAACGCUCCCGGAUGGUCGAAUUGUCUUUCCCCCUAUUACCAAAUUUGAACAUCGAUUUGC